UUCACACUUCUGUGCCUUCACACAUGCUGUUUCUUCCUCCUGGGAUACAAUUCCCCAUCUCCAAUGUUUGAUCAACUCCUCAUUCUUCCAAAGCCGGCUGGGAUGCCACUGUUUCUGUGAAGCCUCUAACCUCAUAAGACCCUGGCUUCUCCUUCAGGGAAAGAGAGAUUCAUUACAUGGAAGGAAAGCCAAGUCCCUCUCAACACUUUUGCCUUGCCACCUAACAGAAAUUAGCCUUUGACCUCUCCUUCCAACUCCCUGCCAUUGAACUCCCAAUCCAUCUGCCAAACCAAAGAACACCAUGUACUAAAAGGUCAGGAGCCUGUGGCAGCUAAGAGGAUGAGUGAUUCUACAAUCUUCAUAUAAACCGAGCCCCCAGGAGGGAUUGAGACUUGUUGAUUUGUGCCAGUACAAGCGACAAUGCCAGUCUGCAGAUCUGGAGAGGAUGUUCAUAAGGAUCCACCCAUUCCCUGUGGGACAAGACCAGAAGAAAUGGCUUCAACUUGCAAAUAAAAGGACUCAGUUCCAGACCUGUACCCACUGGAGUGAUGCUUAAAAGUCUUCAGCCUUGAAUAACAAACAGUGCCACAAAGACAAUCAUUUCAUCACAAUCAAAUUGCCCCUGAAGCCAUGAAGAUUCCUCUAGAGCUACAAGACCAAGACUGAGAUAAUAAUCAACAGGACCCCAGCCCACUACAGCACCACAUAAAACUGGUCUCCAUUCUUUUGUGAAUGGGCCAGACUGAUUCCUCUCUUCAUACCUGUAUACCAUUCAAUUCCUCAAAAUGAAGCAAUUUUUCUAUCUUCUCUUACUUUCCUUUGUGACGAGACAAGCUUGAUCUUAAGAGCUGUCUCCUUUUAUUUCUCUU